rnacentral:rRNA from 1 species
AGUGAACGCUGGCGGUAGGCCUAACACAUGCAAGUCGAACGGCAGCACAGAGGAGCUUGCUCCUUGGGUGGCGAGUGGCGGACGGGUGAGGAAUACAUCGGAAUCUACUCUGUCGUGGGGGAUAACGUAGGGAAACUUACGCUAAUACCGCAUACGACCUACGGGUGAAAGCAGGGGAUCUUCGGACCUUGCGCGAUUGAAUGAGCCGAUGUCGGAUUAGCUAGUUGGCGGGGUAAAGGCCCACCAAGGCGACGAUCCGUAGCUGGUUUGAGAGGAUGACCAGCAACACUGGAAAUGAGACACGGUCCAGACUCCUACGGGUAGCGGCAGGGGGGAAUAUUGGACAAUGGGCGCAAGCCUGAUCCAGCCAUACCGCGUGGGUGAAGAAGGCCUUCGGGUUGUAAAGCCCUUUUGUUGGGAAAGAAAUCCAUCUGGUUAAUACCCGGGUGGGAUGACGGUACCCAAAGAAUAAGCACCGGCUAACUUCGUGCCAGCCGCCGCGGUAA